rnacentral:rRNA from 1 species
CGCUGGCGGCGUGCCUAAUACAUGCAAGUCGAACGGUCUUUCUAUGGAAGCUUGCUUCCACUGAGAAGAUAGUGGCGAACGGGUGAGUAACACGUGGGUAACCUGCCCAUAAGAGGGGGGAUAACAUCCGGAAACGGGUGCUAAUACCGCAUAGUUUUCUUGAUUGCAUGAUUGAGAAAGGAAAGACGGCCUUUGUGCUGUCGCUUAUGGAUGGACCCGCGGCGUAUUAGUUAGUUGGUGAGGUAACGGCUCACCAAGACGAUGAUACGUAGCCGACCUGAGAGGGUGAUCGGCCACAUUGGGACUGAGACACGGCCCAAACUCCUACGGGAGGCAGCAGUAGGGAAUCUUCCGCAAUGGACGAAAGUCUGACGGAGCAACGCCGCGUGAGUGAAGAAAAGGGUUUUCGGAUCGUAAAACUCUGUUGUCAGAGAAGAACAAGUUGGAGAGUAACUGCUCCAGCCUUGACGGUAUCUGACCAGAAAGCCACGGCUAACUACGUGCCAGCAGCCGC